UACAGAGGGGGCAAGCGUUAUUCGGAAUUACUGGGCGUAAAGCGUGCGCAGGCGGUUAUGUAAGACAGAUGUGAAAUGCCCGGGCUUAACCUGGGAACUGCAUUUGUGACUGCAUGGCUAGAGUUUGGCAGAGGGGGGUAGAAUUCCACGUGUAGCAGUGAAAUGCGUAGAUAUGUGGAGGAACACCGAUGACGAAGGCAGCCCCCUGGGUCAAGACUGACGCUCAUGCACGAAAGGCGUGGGGAGCAAACAGG
rnacentral:rRNA from 1 species